GAGGGGACAGGCCAGGAGCAUGGCCAGGUGUAGGGUGUGUGCUUACAGAGAGGCACAGGCCAGGAGCAUGGCCAGGUGCAGGGUGUGUGUACAGAGAGGGGACAGGCCAGGAGCAUGGCCAGGUGCAGGGUGUGCAUACAGAGAGGGGACAGGCCAGGAGCAUGGCCAGGUGCAGGGUGUGUGUAGAGAGAGGGGACAGGCCAGGAGCAUGGCCAGGUGCAGGGUGUGUGUACAGAGAGGGGACAGGCCAGGAGCAUGGCCAGGCACAGGGUGUGUGCGUACAGAGAGGGGACAGGCUAGGAGCAUGGCCAGGUGCAAGGUGUGUGUACAGAGAGGGGACAGGCCAGGAGCAUGGCCAGGCACAGGGUGUGUGCGUAUAGAGAGGGUACAGGCCAGGAGCAUGGCCAGGCACAGGGUGUGUGCGUACAGAGAGGGGACAGGCUAGGAGCAUGGCCAGGUGCAAGGUGUGUGUACAGAGAGGGGACAGGCCAGGAGCAUGGCCAGGCACAGGGUGUGUGCGUAUAGAGAGGGGACAGGCCAGGAGCAUGGCCAGGUGCAGGGUGUGUGUACAGAGAGGCCAGGCCAGGAGCAUGGCCAGGCACAGGGUGUGCGUACAGAGAGGGGACAGGCCAGGAGCAUGGCCAGGUGCAGGGUGUGUGUACAGAGGGGCCAGGCCAGGAGCAUGGCCAGGUGCAGGGUGUGUGUAGAGAGAGG